UAUCUAAAAGAUAACAAACUCAAAAACUUCAUUAGCAAGUCUAGAGCUGUCAAAUGGUCCGUCCAGGGACCAUUGGGCGUGUACGUACAGACAAUUUUUUUUUAUGGGCCAAGUUGGACGGUCCAUGGACAAUGGUCCAAAAAAUGUCCAUGCCCAAUAAAGACCAUGUUUAUAUAGAAAGUCUAUGGUCAGCCCAUUUUAUUAUUGUUAUUAUUGAUAAAUCA
rnacentral:sRNA from 1 species